ACGAGCGCUGGCGGCACGCUUAACACAUGCAAGUCGAACGGAGGUACUUGUACCUCAGUGGCAAACGGGUGAGUAACACGUGGGAAUCUACCUUUCGGUGGGGGAUAACUGGGGGAAACUUCAGCUAAUACCGCAUGCGCUCAGAAAUGAGGAAAGAUUUAUCGCCGAGAGAGGCGCCCGCGUCAGAUUAGGUAGUUGGUGGGGUAAUGGCCUACCAAGCCUGCGAUCUGUAGCUGGUCUGAGAGGAUGAUCAGCCACACUGGGAUUGAGAGACGGCCCAGACUCCUACGGGAGGCAGCAGUGGGGAAUAUUGGACAAUGGGGGAAACCCUGAUCCAGCGAUGCCGCGUGGAUGAAGAAGGCCUUCGGGUUGUAAAGUCCUUUCACCCGUGAAGAGAAUGACGGUAGCGGGAGAAGAAGCCCCGGCUAACUCUGU
rnacentral:rRNA from 1 species